GUCUUCGUGGUGUAGCGAUCAGCAGGCUCGGCGUGUAUUCGAGUGGACCGUGGUUCGAAUCCCGGCGAGGGCA
rnacentral:tRNA from 1 species